UCGCCAACAAAUUUUGUUUUUCAAACUUCUUUUCAAUGUUAAACUCAUUUACUCAAUACAGGUCAUAGGGCCCUGGCUUUGGGGCAAUAGACCAUUCUUUUUCUUCAGUGGUGGGGCAGAGGAAGGGGCCCAGUGGGGAAAAUGCCCCACCAGUCCAUGGUAUUAAAAAAUGCCUUGAAUCAAAAUUAAUAUGUACUUGUGUCUCAAGGUUGCAUCUGCAAUUAUUUGAUAUUUAUAUAAUUACGUACUGUAUUAAAUUUACUUUGUCAAAUGUUAGCA